rnacentral:rRNA from 1 species
AUGGGCGAAGACGACGGAGGCGGAUCGGGCGAAGAUGGGCAAGAUCUCGACCGCCUCAGCAGCCUUCCCGAUGCGAUCCUUGGUGAGAUUAUCUCCCUCCUCCCCACCAAGCAAGGCGCUCGCACCCGGAUCCUGGCGUCCCGGUGGCGCCACCUCUGGUGCUCUGCGCCCCUGAACCUCGACUGCCGUCACCUCGCCCGAGAAUGGCAUGAACUCCCUGAUCUCAUGCAGCGCAUCAUUUCCGCCCACCAAGGCCCCGGCCGCCGCUUC